CCACUUCACACGUUGAGGAGGAUAAUGGUCACUUCUGCCUCUGUCCAGAGAGGAAAAAGUGGCGGCGUCAAGUUGAGCACAGCUGCAUCCACAUCUGCUGCGGACAGCACACAGGAACCAAGCUGGAGAUGAUCUCCACAAAGGUCCUUUUGUCUUGACCAAACGGGCUACUCAGUAGUGCAUGCUGCCCCCCCCAGCAGGGAAAUCGUGAUUGGCAACGUUCAAAUCAAUGCUGCUACAACUUUGCAUGUGGGGGGAGCUCAACCCUCCACCGAGUCCAAGAGCCUUCACUGAUGGGCUCUGAAUUUAAAAAAUACCACUUGGACAAAUGUCGGGUACUUUGACCUUUCAAAUUUCACCUCCACGAUGUCUCAGUCCUUUGAAACAAAGUUCAUUCUCCCUUUUCACUGCAAAUAUUCUCUUUUUUUUCUAAAGAUGGAGGACUUCUGGAGCGCAAUCAUGUCCAUCUGUGAUGGACCCAUAAAAACCUGAAAAUCCCCUUUAGGAAAAGGACCAAGUUCUUCAGCUAGCCUAAGCUCAGGUCCUGAAAGGACCACAGCAGUCCUGGUUUUUGCCUGUGUGGACCUCGUUACCCACCGACAGGAGCUCCCAGUGUGUCCUCCAUCACACCAGAGGGAGCCCCGAUCACAGAUCCUCCCUCUGCAGCUUCUGCAGCCUCGUCUCCUGUGAUGAAUUUAACGCCGUGUGAUGAUGACGGAUAUCAUUGCACCAAGAGAAAGGGGGGAAGAAUUCUUCUAAUCAAGAGUAUCAUCUGGGACGAGAGUACCCUUUUAAGUCUUGGAGACAAACCUCAACCGGGCCCCUGAAAGGAACCGAACAGAGGGAAGUCUUGUGUGUUUUCCAUCCAAGCAAUGAACAGAAAAGAGGAAAGAAGCGCUGCUCAGCUCCAAACAUAACAGGUGAGGCUGCAGGUGAGACUUUCCGGAUUAUUCAAGAGCCGUUGGUGAGGAUGCACUCAAACAGACGUGAGGGGCCGAGUCGUCAGAGCAGCUGGGGGAGUCGAGUUCAGAUGAAUAUUAAUGUGCAGCGGAGACGUUACAGCGCUACGCAUAUCAGGUGGGAUCUUAAUCUAUUACAGCACCAAGUGGCGAAGAAUAAGAACCUAAACUGUCCUCUCGGUGUCGCUGGGCGGUGAUGUGUGUGGCAGUGGGGGGGGCUCCGACAAAGGAAUCUGCCCAUCAAUAAGCAGCUUGGGCCUGCGCCACCAGGAUGGCAAAAAAAGAAAAUACAUCUGGACCUCAGUUUAGCGUGUGUGCCAGUGUGUGUGAGCUGCCCCGGGGAUUAAACCCAGACAUGGACUCAUCUAAUCACUGGUGGCCUGAAUGGAGAGAGAAAAUCCCCCGCUCGGGAGGCGAGUGAACAGACAGAGGUGCGAGGAGGUAAUUCGUGAACACUGUGCGCGAAGCAGCAAAAAAAAAAAGUUUAUUAGAUUGCGCGCCGGCCCGGCUCAUGUGGCAUUUCACGCCACAUCUGUGAAAUUAGACAAAGCGUGCGCGAGAUAGAGCAGGUCUGUGAUUGAAGUCUGUGCAGACGGUGGCCAGACGCACCUGGGUUCCCCCGUUCAUCCGAAUUCAGACGUUAACCCUGAAUAUAAGGCACCAGAACACCCGACACGUGAUCACAUCUGGGCUUUACCACGCCACAGUGAGCUAAAGGGGACGUCUAUGAUCUCCUGAGACAGACCCACCUACACCCCAAAGGUCCUCAGCUUAUUUACGCUCAAACAACCCAAUGUUAGCGUGGAGUCGAGCCGCAGUGUCACGGUUGGCACGCGCCAAUUAGCGGUCGGAUCAAACGCGUCGUCAAAUGGUGGUUUUCACUCCCACUGGGCCCAUGCGGCUGUCCAAAAAACAAUUUAAAUCCUGUUCUUUGUGCCGGGAAAAUGGCAUCUAUCCUUGUCAGAUCAAUAACGUCGUCGUGACACCCUGUGAGCAGUUUCUUUGAGCUGGGGCGGAUUAAACGCUGGCAGACAUCUAGUCUGGCUUCAUCUGAGGAGCUGCAGAGAUUCAGGUGCUGCAACAGUGCAGCAUUCCCACAGCGUUGGUCCGGGGAAAGCCGUUGCCCGUCGGCGCACCUGCCGCGGCCCCGCCGUCGCCUGAAACAGAGGCUCCUGCUGUCUGGACAUCCAAAAUUAAUUAAGGUAAACCUUUUUUGAAGGGCUUAAGACACUUGUUUGAGUCUACAUGUCAUCCAGGGUGGCGAGGCGGGCUGGGGCUACCGCUGGCUAACGAGGAGAAACCUGAACCCAGCAGGCACUUUUACCUGGUGAUAGCGCUCAGCGUUUGGAAUUAAAACCAAUUAUGGCUCCUCCUUCCAACGUGUAACGCGCACGCCUGUCCCUCGCCACCGGCGAGGAUGCACCCGCGUGACCGACCGCCUCGGGCGGGGAGAAAUCUUGCCACCGACCUCUCCUGGGCCUCUCUCCCCCUCCCGCCUUUAAUAUUUCAUAACCUGCUCCUAUAUCUGUUUAUUGAUAAUCAGGCCUCCGCUAGAACUGGGGAAGCCUGAAUCUUUCAUGCUGGGUGAUUUUCCCCACUGGUCUCCACUCAUUCUGAUAAUUCCGCAAUUCCAGUAAGUAAAUUGAAUUAUUAAAAAUGAUGGAAAAAUGAAACUGAAUGAGUUAGGUGGAGGGAGCGACAGCCUUGUAAUUCCACAGGACUCUAAUCUUUUAUUUCUGAAAUGUUUAAUAUCCAAAUAAAUAUUUCAGCCUCAGAAAGGGAUUUAGAGGAAUAAAGAGCAUCGCCGAUAAGCGAGUGAGAGCAACGGCGCCAGCAGUUGUCAGCAGUUAUUCCACCACAUGACUCAGCUCUGCAUCCCCAUCUAACCUGGUGCUGCUCUGCCCCCACCUGCAGCUGGAGUGUUACCUCCAUUCUCACAGUUUGAUGCGUUUUCCUCUCAGUGGUUCAGAGACUCGGGCGUAAUUGCUGCCGACCUUCUGUUGGUCCCUCCUGCACUCCAAACCCUUUCUGGACCAGACAUGAUGCUUUUAAGGGGCGGCUGACAUUGAACCGGACUGAUUGGGGUUCACCGACUGAGUGUGGCGGCGGGCUGCAGCAUUUGCAAGGCUUAUGACUUCUGUUGAGGCUGGAGCUCCACGUCGCCUUGCCUCCUCAGAGGUGGAGAGAGAAGAAGAGGGGAGGGGUGGGGAAGAAAGAAAAAGGCCCUUGAUCACCUGAA
rnacentral:lncRNA from 1 species